UGGUUACCAUUUUUGACUCUAAUUUUUGAAUCAUCACUUUACUUCCUGCUUGUUUUGAAAACAACUUGAGAUACACUUUACAUGUUAUUUCCUUACUGUCUCGUAACGUGUUUUUACCAUACUUCUUAUUGGAAUGAUGUACUACGCACCUAUUGGAUGUCAUUUUCGGUGCUUUAUGUGAAUAAAGUAUUAACAUUCUAUAA